CCUACGGGAGGCAGCAGUGAGGAAUAUUGGUCAAUGGACGCAAGUCUGAACCAGCCAUGCCGCGUGCAGGAAGACGGCUCUAUGAGUUGUAAACUGCUUUUGUACGAGGGUAAACGCAGAUACGCGUAUCUGUCUGAAAGUAUCGUACGAAUAAGGAUCGGCUAACUCCAUGCAAGCCGCCGCGGUAAUACGGAGGAUUACAGCGUUAUCCGGCUUUAUUGGGUUUAAAGGGUGCGUAGGCGGUCGGUUAAGUUAGAGGUGAAAUCCCGAGUAUCAACUUCGGAAUUGCCUCUGAUACUGUUCGGCUAGAGAGUAGUUGCGGUAGGCGGAAUGUAUGGUGUAGCGGUGAAAUGCUUAGAGAUCAUACAGAACACCGAGUGCGAAGGCAGCUUACCAAGCUACUUCUGACGUUGAGGCACGAAAGCGUGGGGAGCAAACAGGAUUAGAUACCCGAGUAGUC
rnacentral:rRNA from 1 species